CGCCCGGUAGCUCAGCGGUAGAGCGGCAUGGAAUCCGGAUCAUCCGGACAACUCAUGCGGUCGGCGGUUCGACCCCGCCCCGGGUGCCCA
rnacentral:tRNA from 2 species